AGUGAACGCUGGCGGUAGGCCUAACACAUGCAAGUCGAACGGCAGCACAGUAAGAGCUUGCUCUUACGGGUGGCGAGUGGCGGACGGGUGAGGAAUACAUCGGAAUCUACUUUUUCGUGGGGGAUAACGUAGGGAAACUUACGCUAAUACCGCAUACGACCUACGGGUGAAAGCAGGGGAUCUUCGUACCUUGCGCGAUUGAAUGAGCCGAUGUCGGAUUAGCUAGUUGGCGGGGUAAAGGCCCACCAAGGCGACGAUCCGUAGCUGGUCUGAGAGGAUGAUCAGCCACACUGGAACUGAGACACGGUCCAGACUCCUACGGGAGGCAGCAGUGGGGAAUAUUGGACAAUGGGCGAAAACCGGAUCCAGCCAUACCGCGUGGGUGAAGAAGGCCUUCGGGUUGGAAAGCCCUUUUGUUGGGAAAGAAAAGCAGCAGGUUAAUACCCCGCUGUUCUGACGGUACCCAAAGAAUAAGCACCGGCUAACUUCGUG
rnacentral:rRNA from 1 species